rnacentral:rRNA from 1 species
UACGUAGGGACCAAGCGUUGUUCGGAUUUACUGGGCGUAAAGGGCGCGUAGGCGGCGUGUUAAGUCACUUGUGGAAAUCUCUGAGCUUAACUCAGAACGGUCAAGUGAUACUGGAUGUGCUAGAGUGCAGAAGGGGCAACCGGAAUUCUUGGUGUAGCGGUGAAAUGCGUAGAUAUCAAGAGGAACACCUGAGGUGAAGACGGGUUGCUGGGCUGACACUGACGCUGAGGCGCGAAAGCCUAGGGUAGCAAACGGG